rnacentral:lncRNA from 1 species
CAAAGGUUCAGCCUAGUUGCAACCUCGUACAGGUCUCAAAGGACCUGUAAAACAAAAAGUUGAUUAGAUUGAAAACGAGCGACGGACAAGUCCCGACGUCUCGUAAAGAGGGAAGCUUUACAAGCAAUUCAGCAAGCACCUUGUGUGCACAGAAGAAAAGAGAGAAAGGAGGAAACCAAGGACUUUAGAAGGUAGAACGAACAGUCGCAAGUCCACAAACAACUGCUCACCAGGUGCCGAGUGCGAAGGCAAGUUCCCGUCAAGUCAACGUGCGAACUUGUGAAGAUUUUUCAAUGCCCGACAAUAUACCGAAGCCCCAUCCAGCCCUAUGCCACCCGGGGGGUUCCAGGGUGCUAAGAUGGCUGACAUUUUGCGCGCUACAACGAGCUGCAGAAAACAGCUUGUGGCAUGCGAAAACGGAGCCAUUUUGGGGCUUUUUGACCCAGCACGGUGAGCGAUCGCACUCUGCGCUGCAACCUGUUCGAACAUGUAUUUUUACAAGCAAAAACACACAAAACCAAGACAAAACAGGCUGCCAUGUCUUUGUUCAAGUAUGCAAAGGCGACGAACGAUUCGUUAAACGAAGUUAUUGAGAGUGCGCGAUGACCGUUCGUGACAUUAUGGCUCUUUUUCCUAGUUGGCGCUCCAGAUUGCGCCUCCUCCGCUCGCGGAGAGUAUCCAACUUCUCGCUCAUCAUGUUCGUUGUCACGCUCCUCCUGAACGGCUCCAACAGCAUAAGAGAGAGUAUGCACUUACAGCCCACCUACGGCUACUUGGGGCAAGGGUCCGGCUUGCCCCGUCUUGCUUGAUUCGCCACGAUGCUUUGUCAUGGAGAAAUUGUGAAGUUCCUUCGCUGCUUGCUCGAAUUGCUUGCCCGCUCUGAUACCACAAUGUCACGGACUUAGCUGGAAUUGCCUAAGUCGUGAGGCACCCUUGUGACCAAGUCGCGAACUUAGCUUGAGUUACCUAAGUCGCGACAUACCCUUGCACCAACUUCUCGAACUUAGCUGGGAUUGCCUAAGUCAUGAGGCGCCCUCACGACACAUGCGUCCACAAAGGUUCAGCCUAGUUGCAACCUCGUACAAGUCCCGAAGGACCUGUAAAACAGAAAGUUGAUUAGAUUGAAAAUGAGCGACGGACAAGUCCCGGCGUCUCGCGAAGAGGGAAGCUUUACAAGCAAUUCAGCAAGCACCUUGAGUGCAAGAGAGAAAAGAGAGGAAGGAGAAAACAAGGACUUUAGAAGGUAGAACGAACAGUUGCAAGUCCACAAACAACUG